AGCUUCCUAAUUAGGCGAGUGGGCGGGGCCUGGGUUGCCUCGGCGCUGCCCUAGAACCUGAACUGUGUUUCCGGGCGCAGAAGGAUCCGGCCACCGUGGACUACGAGGACCUCCUGCGCUACGCUGCCGCCCUGGCCCAGGACACCACCAGCCCAGAGCCCAGCCCUGAAGAGCAUGAAGGGCCCUGCUCAUGCCCAGAGGGUCCUCCAAAGCCCGCCCUGCUCCACCAGCUGAAGGAAAAGGAGGUGUCUACAGAGGAAGUCCCCUCCUCCUGCUCUCCAAGGGUGCCUUUGCGGGGGGCUGGCCCAAAACUCUGGAAGAACCUCAGGGCGCUGCCCGAGACGGGCCGGAGGGUCCAACAGCAGCUGAAAGGCUGCCUCGCAGCUGUGAGCCUCGCGUCGCUCUGGGAUGCACGGCCAUCAGCGGUGACCCACAGCUCCAAGGCCAGGGCCCCUUUUGUGGCCACAUCCCUGGAGAACCCCCCACAGCGCCAGGUCCUGAGCGACAGGGACACCGCCUCCAGGAAGGCCACCAGGCCUACCAGCUGGAGCGGGGCGACCCCAGGGGAGCGGGGCUGGCACCAGAAGGUCGUGAGGGCUCUGUCCUUCCAGCCAUCCGAGCCGAAGCCGAGGGACUGGCUCCCCGAGGAGUACCUGCAGCCCCCACCCUUUGCACCCGGGUACUGCUAGGGGCUCACCAGCCGGGAGCCUGGAGGACUCUCACUGCCAGGUGGCCACGCCCCGCGCUUGCCCUGCAGGACCCAGGGAUGGGGUGCAGGGCGUGGGGUCUGAUCCCGCUGGGCUGGUGACCAUCAGUGUCACAGCGGUGGGGGUCCGCUCCCUGCCCAGCCCAGCCCGGCCAGACCUUCCUUGUUGGCCACCACUGCCCUUGGUACCCACAGUUCUGAACUGUGGGUUCAACCGCCCUGCGUGGAAAACGGUCCCUGAAAACUUCGCACAGGCUGGGUGUGGCGGAGUGGGUCUGUUGCCCCAGCACUCUGAAGCAGGAGAAUCUCCCAGAGUUCGAGGCCAGCCUGGACCACACAGCGGACCCUGCCCCAGAAAACCAAAAAAUAAAACUAAAACCUUUGCGAGUGUGGACAUGUGCAGACUUGUCUCCUCUUCGGGGUCCCCAGAGAAGACCAAGCGGCCCCUGGGACAGCAGGGACGUCGUGCCAGUGUUGGAGCCAUCUGCUGGGGUGGAGGCCUGUGGGUCCCUCGAACUCGGGGGGUUCCAGAGCCUGCAGGUGCUGGCAGGACUUCUUCAGCCCUGAGCAAGCCGGCCGGGGCUCAUCUCCAGGAGCAGGAGCAGAGACAGCUGGGCAGGAAGUGUGGCCACAGCGUAGGGCCACGGUGGCAGACCGGACUCAGAGCCGGGACUCACAGGGUCUGAGCUCUGUGCAAAUCGCACCGCAGGGCCCAGGCUGGCAGGGCCCCUCCCCAGGAGGCCUCGGUCUGUAGACAGAGACCAGAGACGGCUCCGUGCUCAGCGGCACACUGCCAGCAUCAGCUUCUUUGGGGGACUCAAGAAAGCCCCUCCCUUCCCUUUAAAAAAGAGCAGUUCCAAGUUCGAUCCCCGGUACCAAAAAAAAAGAGCAGUUAAGGGUUGGGGACUUAGCUCAGUGGUUCCACUGCCUGCUGCCCAAGCUCAAGGACCCGAGUUUGAUCCCUGGUCCCAAAAAAAAAAAAAAAAAGGAGCAGUUAAGCCAACACAUCCUAACACUCGGGAGGCUGAGGCAGGAGGAUCACUGUGAGUUCGAGGCCAGCCUAGGAUACAUAGGGAGACCCUGUCUCAAAAAGGUGGGGCUGAGGAUGGAGCUCAGCAUGGAAGCCCUCAGUUCAAUGCCAAGUACUGGGGGGAAAAAGGGACCCCAGGGUGCAUCUCUGUGUGGCCUUUGGCAAGUCCAGGCCUCUCUGGGCCUGUUCCUCACCCACACCACGGGGGACAGGCGGGCAGGCCCUCCCAAGGACCUGGCACACAGCAGGUGCUUAGCCAACUCGACUGGGCAUCGGGCUGCUCGGGGCCACAGACACGCGUCCAGGCUGGGGACCCUGGCUGAGUCAGGCCCGCCAGGGGCUCGUGGUGUGGCCUGGGCCCCUCCAGGCCCCGGGGGACCGCCCCUCUCAGCCCUGCUGGGCGCCCAGCCGGAAGUGCAGGCCGCCUUUGAAUGCCACUCCUGCCGC
rnacentral:lncRNA from 1 species